AGUAAAUCAAAUAUAAACUUUGUUUCAAAUCAUUCCUCCUAUCAAGAUACACUUCUUACCAUACAUAUAUAUAUAUAUAGUUGGUUCGUGACCUCAUCAGAUUCCCAGGCAUUUCAUAUAUUACCCUCCUCCUUCUUGCUACAUUAGUUCCAACACUGACAGUUGCGAAUCAUAUUACUCAAGAAGGUGAGGCGAGUCCAGCCUGGGAGAGGAUUGAUAAACUUAAAGCAAUAAAGAAUCCUGUGAAAUUAGUUCAGGUAAUAACCCGAAAUGCUAAUAUCAUUCACGUCUAGAAUAUUUUUUUUAUCGAUUUAUGCUUGGAAAUGUUAUCAUAAAAAUAUAGCAUAAUUGUAGCUGCAUGAUCUAGAUGAGAUUGUAUUUCUCAGAGCUCCGAAUGGAAUGCAACCUAAAAUGUAUGUGAUUUUUGUGUUGUGUGGUGUGUUGUAUGUUUGAAGGCUUUUUUUUUUUUUUAUUAAAACUAUUAUUCCAAAAAAAUAUGUUGGCAUAAUAGCCUUAAAGUCAAAUUUUUCAUGACCAGAUUCCUAUUAAAUAAUAAUUUCUAAUGAGCAAAUAAACAUGGGUGGGCAAAACACAAUGUUUUUUUGCUAAAUAUAUUAUCUUGCCUUUUUUUUUCUAUAAUAAAUUAAGCAUUGGUUCUUUUCCAAAAUGAACAAUAUAUCAUAAAUGUUAUCCCUUCCUUAAGUUUAAAUAAUGGCUAUCAUAACUACAAAUCUACUAAAUGCGCUUUUUUAAAUAAAAUUAUUAUUUACUGAGUUGCCAGUGAUUGUUGUGAUCAGGUUUAAGCUCUGUUAAAUAUAUAUUAUAUGUUACACAGUUUGUUCAGAGAAUUUCCUUUUUCAUGCUGUAAUUAUUUCCAAUUGAUGACGUAUGUGUACAAAUAACUCGAUCAAACUCACAGCUGUUAAACUUGAAAUUUUUUUUUUUAUAAAACAGGGUAAUUGAUUGACUGAUUUAUUGGUUGAUUGACAAACAUCUACAAUUCCAUAGGUAAUUUUACUAUUUUUUCAAUUAGAUGCCAUUUAAUUAUUUUUUUUCAUUAAAAAAAUGUGUCAAAUGAGACUUAAGCAGGAGUACAAUAGGAAGUCCAGACAUUGAUUUAGACAUUUUUACAGAUGCUAGCUUUUCUGAUAUUUUUAUGAUGUCGCGAAACAUGGAUGCUGUCCAGGAAGUAGGAGGGUCUGGGAGGGAGGGUCUGCUGGAGAUUGGCCGGGAUGUGUCAGCUGACCGGAGUUCGCCACGAACAGCUCGUGGCGAACCGUGGCGAACUGUUCGCGAGAAGUUCGCGGACGGUUCGCGACAUCUCUAUCAGUGGCAUUUAGAGCCUUUGAGCAUUAAAGGGACACUCCAGACUUAUUAAGCACUUGAGCUUGCUGAAAAGCAUUAAGUGUGAAGAGUGUCCUAUUUUUUAAUUUUGCAAACAGUGCAGAUUUCACUUUUAUACAUCAACAUGGUAACACCCACUUGGCUUACAAGCAGACAACAGGUCUUGUAACAUUGUGGUUCUGUUAGCUCAGUGGAGCUAAACAAAAGAGGCAGUCACUGCCCAGAGCACCUGCCUUGCAAAGACUUCUCAUUGGACUGCAUUGUGAAGUCUAUGAUUGGAGAGCCACAUAAAAUCUGGGCUGGGAAAGAACAGGAGGGUUUUCAAAGGCAGCAGACAAGAGGUCUGCAGUUUUUAUAUAUACCGCCAAUGAAAACAAAUACAACAUUAAAUGCAUGCAUGUUUUCAUUUGGGUAUAUGUAUAAAUCAGUGACUUUUAUCUAUGUUUAUUUUGGCAGUGGAGUGUCCCUUUAAUUAACUUGUUGCAUACGUACCUUCAGCAGAGAUUUCUAUUGCAUUUCUUUAAAAUAUUUUAAACCUAAAAUACUUAAAAACAAAAAUAUUCUAAAUUCAAUCUUUACACAUAUUCUUGUAAGUAAUUCACAUUAUUUUCACUUAGAUUUUUUUCAUUAAAUGACAAUUUCAAGUAAAAACAUAUUCCAAUUUAGCCAAGUCAGAAAAACGUAAUAUUUUUAAAAGCUUGCUAAGCCUGAGAAUAUUGCAAGUGCUGUCAUUUUGGUCUAAAUGUGUUUCAGGUAGUACGAACAUAUCAAAUUUCUUUUAAUCUAUGUCCGAAUGAAUUGAUCCAUCCAGAAUUUACCCGUUUUAUUUGAUUAAAAGGAAUACGAUUUGUUCGAAAUGCAUCUGUGCACAAGUAUAGUGUAAAAGAUGAAUUUUGAUUGCAAAGUCAUCGUGGAGUGAACUCACCUCUACAGUUAUUUGAGGAUGACUGUCUCAAAUAUAUGUAAAAUAUGAAGAUGAUUUUGAACGAAUUUUCAUUACUAACCAUUUCUAAGGGACUGAGCAAUAACUUAUAAAAAUAGCGUUAUAAUCCUACUUGCAUUAUAAUAAAUAAAUAAUUUAAAAAAAUGCUACCCCAGUGACUAUUAAAUAAUUCUCAAUGAGAAGAAAUAAACUCUCUGGCAAAAAAUUUUUUUUUAUUGAAAAAAGGUAGUUUUGUAAAUAAAGAUCCUCCUUUUAAUAUACAAUUGAGUGGCUGCAAAUAUUUAUAGAACACUUUGUAAACUCUUUGCUGUACAUUCUAAUAUCUGUUUCACAGACUCCUUAAGGUGUCGCACAGACUGUAAAUGUCUUUCAACACAUUUCUCAGCUAAAACCUUAGGUUCCUGUCUGUCUAUGACAGUUGCGCGCUGUUCUAGAAGAAUUUCCCCUCACCCUCCUCAUGCCAUCAUCGGGCUUCCACCAUCCUGCCCCUCCUCAUAUCAUCACUGCAAGUUGCUAAGUCUUUCCACUCUGCCCUUCAGAGGAUCCCAAAAUAGAUGAUACAGUCAUUAUCUCUGUAACUAAAUAAUACUAACAUCUAUCCAUUAAAUAUAAUACUAUUGUUGCAGUGGGUCAUCUGCCCAGCGCCAAAGAACAAGCAUUUGCUAAGGAAAUUCUCGCCAUAUUUACGCACGGCUACUGAUAUUUACUGACAAUAACGUGCUACAUGAAUACGAAAUAUAUGGCUGUCACUGCUCAAAGGAGUCAGAAGUCAGAAUAUUUGUUUUCGUAAGAGAUUUAUUAAGGACAAGCUAAGGAUAUGGUGCUAAUUUGUUAAGCUGCGUGACAUUCAUACAAUGUAAUUAGAUGCACGGAUGUAUAUUAUGUGUAUAUGCCAUUGUUAACUGCGAUGAUUUUUCUUCUGAUAUGCCCAAACUGAAAUGUUACAUUGAGUGUUUAUAUUAAGUAUUGAUAUUUUACACAAAACGCUGGGAUAUAGGAGCAGGGAGUUGUCACACUUAGAUUAGAUGUGGUUGGAAAGUUGGUAGCCACUCCAAACAAAUUUAAAAGAAAACACUGCCUUGUAUUUUUGGUUUAGAAAACAUUAAUGUUUCCAUCUAAAUGUUGUGCACAGACAGAUUAAAUGUUGCUGCAAAGCAAUGCAAUAUUACAGUUAGCAUCUUAUGCCCACUAGUGUUUCACUAAGCUUCCAAGCAGGGGUUGUCUUGGUCAAUCCGUUUUAAUUGUGCAGAUUAAAAGGAACAUGAUAGUGUUAGGAAUAUAAAUGUAUAUUCCUAAUGCUCUAGGUGACUGGCAGCCACCUGUAGGGAGUAAAAAAUGGUGAUUUUACGUUUUCUACCUCACAGCGCUGGUCUCUGUGCUGCCAUCCCACCCCCUUGGCUGAUAUUAUUGAGAUUGAUCAUUUUAACCAAUCCAAUGUUUUCUACAGAAAAGCAAAGGGAGGCUAGUGUGCAUGCGCGGCCUCUGGUCUCUUAGACCAUCUGACUGACAUAGCAGACUUUUACUCUGCUCUCCAUUCGGAAGCACUUCUAGUGGCUGUCAGAGUGACAGCCAAUUGAGGGAUUUAAAUCCUGUAAUGAAAACACUGCUAUUUUACAGAAUGAAUAUGUUUUUGCUUGCAGGGUUAAAAUGGGGGACAUGGCACUUAGAUCACUUCAUUGCAAUGAAGUGGUCUGAGUGCCUAUAGUGUCCCCUAAAGCAAAUUAUAGACAUUGAUAAUGUAAAAAGCACUUCAAAACUGCACUCUUCAGAAUAAUAUAAGAUCAAUAUCAAAACCACAUGAGAACUGCACAAUUUAAGGUUAAGUAAAUUGCGUUAUGCAUAAAAGUAGUUUUGAGAAUCACUACAACUCUAUCCUUACUAUACCUUACUGUGCGGUCUGGUAUCUGGUAGGUACUGUCCCCUAUAGUAACUAUUCUGCUGUGUGCAUAACUCCAUCUAUAGGGAAUGGAGCCAGAUCAUUGAGGUACCGUGAGGUCCCUCAUAGUAUGACGCCAUGGUAGCAUGUCCCUUGUGAGAGCCCCGUAAAAAGAGAGGGUUCAUUUCCUUAAAGUUUAAGGUGUUCUGUGUAAGAGGCACUUCUUAUUUAGUCAAUAUAGAAAGUUAGCAUCUCCCUAGCUACACACAAAUAGUGACAAUCAUGGAGCGCUAUAAGUGACAAAAUCACUUAUAGUUAUAUGCUAGACAAAAAGAGAUACAAUAUAGUGUAGUAUAUUGAGUAUUCCCAUGUGUGUAUUAAUAUAUUUCCUUAUAGGAAAGUUUAUUCUUAAAGGGACACUCCAGGCACCCAGACCACCUCUGCCCAUUGGAGUGGUCUGGGUGUCAACUCCCACUACCCUUAACCCUGCAACUGUAAUUAUUGCAGUUUUCAUAAACUGCAAUAAUUACCUUGCGGGGCUAAGUCCUCCCCUAGUGGCUGUCUACUAGACAGCCACUAGAGGGCACUUCCUGGUCCAUAGCACAGGUUUUCUGUGCUAUAGUGUCGCUGGACGUCCUCACACUUUGUGAGGACCUCCAGUGUUGCUAAAAUCCCCAUAGGAAAGCAUUGAAAAGCAUUUUCAAUGCUUUCCUAUGGAGAGGUCUAAUGCACAUGCAUGGCAUUGCCACGCAUGCGUAUUAGGUCUCCCCAGCCGCCGGGCGGGAUCAGUAUCCCGCACCAGCUGACGUAAUGAAGGGGAGGAAUGGCGGUGGAAGAAGAAGCGACGUGGGAGGUGGGAGGGAGAGGGGACCUGCAGUGCCUGGAAAAUGGAUUGUUUUCCUGGCACUGGAGAGUCCCUUUAACUUCUGUAUAGAAUCCAUUUGUACUGGCCCGCUUAGAAAAUGGAUCACUGCAUCUCUGGAAUAUCCUGCUGUUUCUUUCCAUGACUGUAAGACUCCAUCAGCCUUCUACAUUUUGGCUGAUAUUGGUGAGAAGAAAUGAAAGAGUAGACUCGUAGCAAAAUAAUAAUAAUAAUAAUAACAAACUAUUUAACCAGAAAAGGUGCAUUCAGAUUACUCUGGUUUACAAGUACCUCCUAGGGAUGUUACCUUUGCCCAACAACAAGGGGUUGUUACUAUUAUCCAAUUGAAUGGUACUCAUUUUAUCUACCUUGGAAGGAUGAAGGGCUGAGUCAACCCUGCCAGGAUUUGAACCUGGCAACUCAUCUAAUCUAUGUCAUCAGGUAUUCCUCUGAUUUACACAUUCUGUCUCCUUCCGCUAUUCUCCAAUAGUAUGUAGUUUAGCUAAUGGUGUUGACAAGUAGUUGAUUUUAGCUCAGCCAGUGUGGCAUGAGUUUUCAUCUGACGUCAUCUACCUCCAGCAAUCUGCCUUUCAAGCAAAACAUCUCUUCUUUUACAAUUGCAGUGUCUGCUUGAAAGAGUUGCCUGAUAUUCACCAGAAUAGGCCUUUUUGUCUUUAUCCUUAUUGAGGGUCUUCUGAUGCAGGUACCCUCCUUUAGGUAUCUUGUUGACAGUAUCAAGGUCUCAGAUGAGCAUAGAGCUUGCUGCUGUAUGAGGACUAACUUCUUUGUGGGCUGCGAAAGUAAGUUUAUAAUAUAUUGCGUUCUGUUAGGGCGAUUCAUAUCUGACAUCUUGCCCUUUACAUUCUCCUCAAGAGGCUUUGGACUGGAGAUUGGUUUGAGAGGUAUAUUGUCCAAUUUUAAGUAAAAUUACUAUAUUUUUCCUGGAACUUUGAAAUAGUUCAACCAGUCAGUUUGGCAGUUUACAAACUGUCCCCAAAGCAAUUUUUCACCUGGCAAAGAAACAUGAUUUUUUGCUAAGAUUUUAGUCAUCCCCUCCUGUUUUUGGAAAUAUUGACCCUUCCAUCCUUACGUUACAAGACCCUCUAUUGCCAAAAAAAAACAUUACCAGCAUUUUGCAGCCAGAUAGAGCUCUAUUCACACUACAGAGCUUCUACGGAGCCUGCAAAAACAGUCUGCAAUUCUUUGUACUGUACAGAUACCUGGCUUUUUCAUUGUUAUUGUUCAUACUGUGUAUGGAUAAAGACGUUCAUUUAACAUCUUAAUAUAAUUUUUGGAAAAUUAUAUUAUAUUCUAUACAAAUACCCAUAAGUAAGAUAUAUGAGUUGUUUUAUUUAUCUGUCUGAAAUAUCACAAGAGAAAUGUAUUUCUCUGAAGGCAGAAUAUAAAAUGAUAAGGAAACACAGUGUACAUUUCACAUAUUCUAAAUAUUUAAAUUAUCUCUCAAUUGCUUUCUCGUCCCAUUUUAAUGAGCUAACUAUUCAAUUCAUAAUUCAACUAAAUGUUGCACCAUUAGUUAAGCUGUAACAAAAAUAUGCAAUGUUUUUCUGUAAUUAUUGUUUUCUUUUAUAUAUUGCUUCUCUUAAAGGGACACUAUAGUCACCCAGACCCAGUUUCAGAGAAAUGCUAUGUUUACAUUGCAGGGUUAAUCCAGCCUCUAAUGGCUGUCUUCCUGACAGCCGCUAGAGGUGCUCCUGCAGAACGUCCAUAGGAAAGCAUUGAGAAAUGCUUUCCUAUGGACUGUUAAAAUGCGCAAUCGGCUCUUGACGCGCAUGCGCAUUCCGCUCCACUCGGGAGAUGACGUCGGCGGGGGAGGAGAGGUCACCAGGGCCGAGGGAGCCCGGCGCUGGAUUAAGGUAAGUGGCUGAAGGGUGAGGGUCCCCUAAGGAUUAUAUAGUGCCAGGAAAACAAGUUUGUUUUCCUGACACUAUAGUAAUCCUUUAAGUACUUCCAGCUUUUGUAAAAAUAUUGACAGUCAUAUGUCUCUGAAGCUAGAUUUUAUAUUAUUUUUCCACCUAUUGGAAGCAUGUCUCUAUUUAGGGUAUACUAUAGUCACCCAUACCACUGGGUGUAGAGUCCCUGUAAUGUUAGCCCUGCAACAUCAAACAUUGCAGUUUCAGAGAAAACUCUCUCUGUCUACCAUACAGCCACUGGAGGUGCUUCCUGCAAUUUCAUUGAGUUUGACUUCAUGAAGUGACACUGGGCAUCCUCUCCUCACGCUUUGCUUGAGGACAUUCGUAGGGAAGCAUUAAUUCAAUACUUUCCUGUAGGGAAGGCCUAAUGCGCAUUAGGUUCCCUCAUUGGCUGACAUCAGAGGAGGUGGAGCCCCACCCAACGCCAACAGAUUUUCACUUCCUUUAAACUCAAAGUUCCAAAUACGUUUAUCAUUUUUUCUUAGCUUACAUGACUGGUACAGCCUUUUUAUUUUAUUUUUUUAAGAAUCUUGAUUAAUUUUAUGAUUACCAAUUAUUAUCUAAUGAUUUGCUCUGGUGUAUAAUAAAAUAAUCCCUAUGCUUUAUUUCCAGCACACUGAGCUGUGGUGAACAUUCCACGAGUGUCUGCUGAAAUCGUCUCUUGGCAUUCUUCUGAGACAAUCCUAUAAGAUGGAGAGAUCCACACAAGAGCUGUUCCUCAACUUCAUGAUUGUGUUAAUCACUGUGCUGCUGAUGUGGCUUCUGGUGAAGUCUUACCUGGAAUAAAAGGACUAAAUGAUGAUUUUUGGAUCAACCUAAGUCGAUGUUUCCAGUCCCUUCAGUGUUGACAUAGUCUUUACAGUCUCCAUCAACACUGAAGGGGCAGAAGUCAAUGCGCCAUGUACAGUAUCUUCAUACCAAGUGUGUCCUACUGCUCGUACCAUCAACAACGCCAUUGAUGGUGUGUGGAACGCAAGAUUUGCCUGUUCUUCAUGCAUACAAGGCAGCUUCAUGUUUUUGACACAAUGUUAACUAAAAGUUCCAUCAAUUAUUGAUAAUAAAUACUGUAAAAUGCCUUUACUAUAAGGGGGUGUGGGUUUUCCCCCACAGGAUGUGGGUUUUCCGCCACAGAAAUCUAAAAAGAUGUCUUAAUAUAAUUUCUUGUUCUAUCCCACAAACUGGGACACAAAAUAUUUCAGCUGAAUAAACAUAUGGUUGGAGAAAUUAGCGUAUUGC